CCCACCCCUUCCCAUCCCGAACAGGACCGUGAAACGACUCUACGCCGAUGAUAGUGCGGAUUCCCGUGUGAAAGUAGGUAAUCGUCAGGC
rnacentral:rRNA from 1 species